CCUACGGGUGGCAGCAGUGGGGAAUAUUGCACAAUGGGCGCAAGCCUGAUGCAGCCAUGCCGCGUGUGUGAAGAAGGCCUUCGGGUUGUAAAGCACUUUCAGCGGGGAGGAAGGCGGUGAGGUUAAUAACCUCAUCGAUUGACGUUACCCGCAGAAGAAGCACCGGCUAACUCCGUGCCAGCAGCCGCGGUAAUACGGAGGGUGCAAGCGUUAAUCGGAAUUACUGGGCGUAAAGCGCACGCAGGCGGUCUGUCAAGUCGGAUGUGAAAUCCCCGGGCUCAACCUGGGAACUGCAUUCGAAACUGGGAGGCUAGAGUCUUGUAGAGGGGGGUAGAAUUCCAGGUGUAGCGGUGAAAUGCGUAGAGAUCUGGAGGAAUACCGGUGGCGAAGGCGGCCCCCUGGACAAAGACUGACGCUCAGGUGCGAAAGCGUGGGGAGCAAACAGGAUUAGAUACCCGAGUAGUC
rnacentral:rRNA from 1 species